rnacentral:lncRNA from 1 species
ACAAGAGCAGCAGGAAUUGCCCAAACCAAGUAAUUAUUACUCGACUUCUUACGCUUCAGGCUCGGUCUUGGUAAAGGAGUUUCUAGUCCCCUUCUGUGAAUCCUAUUCCUUAUCUGUUUCUUCCCCUUUGAGGCUUUUUCUUCCAUGGGUUUCUCCAUUUCUUGAUCUUCAACCUCUUCUUUCUCUGGUACAGAAGCUUCUGGAACUUCCUCAGGCUCUACAGCGUCGUCCUUCUUUGCUUUCCUCUCACGCUCCUGAAAGACCAAGACGAAGAUGUCAUCCUCCAAAGAACUAUUAUUAUGAGGAAUGAAGAAUUAAUAGGUACUUUACAAGAUAUUAAGUAAUUUCCUUUUCUUUCUUUUCAGCUUCCUUUUGAGCUCUUAUAGCUGCUUUUGCUGCAGACUUUGCCGCCUGUUUCUUUUUCCUUUCCAUGGCUUGUUUGGCUUUAGCAAUCUCUUCUUGCCUUCUCAUCUCCCUAAGCGUAGCUUCAUCAACCGGUUUUGACUCUUCCUUUAGCGGUUUUCCAAGUCCAUACACUUCUUCCUCAUCAGAGAUGGGCUUAGUCUCCUUUGCUUUUCCAGCAUCUUUAGCUUUGUUUCCAGAUUCUUUCUGAGGAACACUAACAUCUGGCUUUGGUGCAGAAACUGGAUCCUCCUUAGGCUGUUUUGUUUUAGCCUUAGGCACAACCUCUGUUUCAGAAGGCAUUGGCUUUG